AACGUAGGAGGCGAGCGUUAUCCGGAUUUACUGGGUGUAAAGCGCGUGCAGGCGGUGGGCUAAGUUGGGUGUGAAAGCUCCUGGCUCAACUGGGAGAGGUCGCUCAAGACUGGCCGACUGGAGAGCAGGAUGGGAAGGUGGAAUUCCGGGUGUAGUGGUGAAAUGCGUAGAUAUCCGGAGGAACACCAGUGGCGAAAGCGGCCUUCUGGACUGCAUCUGACGCUCAGACGCGAAAGCUAGGGGAGCAAACGGG
rnacentral:rRNA from 1 species